GUGAACCAUACGCCUUUUAACUCUUCAGAAAAAGCAAGUAGAAAGAUUAAUUUGCCAUCAGCUUGUGUUGAGUUUGUUUCUGAAAGUAACGAUGAUGUUAUGUUGAUUUCUGUGGAAAAUCCUAAUUUGACAACUCCAAUUGCAUCAGAUCCAACAGAAAUUAGAAAAAAUACAUCAAGAAAUGUCAGCAGUUCUCCUAAUGCCAGGAGUGAAGUUGUGCCUGUAGAGAAGAAAUUUGACUUUGUUAUUGACCUGACAAGAGAAGGCCUGUCCAGCUACAGCAUAGAAAGCCCAUCCUUCACCCUGAAGUCAACUUCGAAAGCUGUUUUAAGAUCAAAAGAAAUAAUCCCAGUGGCAGAAAAUGGAAAUGAGG
rnacentral:lncRNA from 1 species